UGGGGAAUCUUGCGCAAUGGGCGAAAGCCUGACGCAGCGACGCCGCGUGCGGGAGGACGGCCUUCGGUCGUAAACCGCUGUUGCCCGGGACGAAUGCCCCUUCGAGGGAUUGACGGUACCGGGUGAGGAAGCACCGGCUAACUCCGUGCCAGCAGCCGCGGUAAUACGGAGGGUGCGAGCGUUGUCCGGAAUCACUGGGCGUAAAGGGCGCGUAGGCGGCGCGGGAAGGCGGCGGUGAAAGUCCGGGGCUCAACCCCGGAUCGGCCGUGGCGACUCCCGCGCUGGAGCCACAGUAGAGGCGGGUGGAAUUCCGGGUGU
rnacentral:rRNA from 1 species